CCCUGGUAGUCCACGCAGUAAACGAUGAUAACUGGGCGUAUGCGAUAUACAGUAUGCUCCUAAGCGAAAGCGUUAAGUUAUCCACCUGGGGAGUACGCCGGCAACGGUGAAACUCAAAGGAAUUGACGGGGGCCCGCACAAGCGGAGGAACAUGUGGUUUAAUUCGAUGAUACGCGAGGAACCUUACCCGGGCUUGAAUUGCAGAUGUAGGAUACAGAGAUGUUGACGCCCUUCGGGGCAUCUGUGAAGGUGCUGCAUGGUUGUCGUCAGCUCGUGCCGUGAGGUGUCGGCUUAAGUGCCAUAACGAGCGCAACCCCUAUUUUCAGUUGCCAUCAGGUUAUGCUGGGCACUCUGGAGACACUGCCACCGCAAGGUGUGAGGAAGGUGGGGAUGACGUCAAAUCAGCACGGCCCUUACGUCCGGGGCUACACACGUGUUACAAUGGCCGGUACAGAGGGACGGUGUAAUGCAAAUUGCAUCAAAUCUUUAAAGCCGGUCCCAGUUCGGACUGAGGUCUGCAACCCGACCUCACGAAGCUGGAUUCGCUAGUAAUCGCGCAUCAGCCAUGGCGCGGUGAAUACGUUCCCGGGCCUUGUACACACCGCCCGUCAAGCCAUGAAAGCCGGGGGUGCCUGAAGUCCGUGACCGCAAGGAUCGGCCUAGGGCAAAACUGGUGAUUGGGGCUAAGUCGUAACAAGGUAGCCGUACCGGAAGGUGCGGCUGGAACACCUCCUUUCU
rnacentral:rRNA from 1 species